CGUGACGGCGCGAGCAGGUGCGAAAGCAGGUCAUAGUGAUCCGGUGGUUCUGAAUGGAAGGGCCAUCGCUCAACGGAUAAAAGGUACUCCGGGGAUAACAGGCUGAUACCGCCCAAGAGUUCAUAUCGACGGCGGUGUUUGGCACCUCGAUGUCGGCUCAUCACAUCCUGGGGCUGAAGUAGGUCCCAAGGGUAUGGCUGUUCGCCAUUUAAAGUGGUACGCGAGCUGGGUUUAGAACGUCGUGAGACAGUUCGGUCCCUAUCUGCCGUGGGCGCUGGAGAACUGAGGGGGGCUGCUCCUAGUACGAGAGGACCGGAGUGGACGCAUCACUGGUGUUCGGGUUGUCAUGCCAAUGGCACUGCCCGGUAGCUAAAUGCGGAAGAGAUAAGUGCUGAAAGCAUCUAAGCACGAAACUUGCCCCGAGAUGAGUUCUCCCUGACUCCUUGAGAGUCCUGAAGGAACGUUGAAGACGACGACGUUGAUAGGCCGGGUGUGUAAGCGCAGCGAUGCGUUGAGCUAACCGGUACUAAUGAACCGUGAGGCUUAACCUUACAACGCCGAAGCUGUU
rnacentral:rRNA from 1 species